rnacentral:rRNA from 1 species
GAUGAACGCUGGCGGCGUGCCUAAUACAUGCAAGUCGAGCGAACAGACGAGGAGCUUGCUCCUCUGACGUUAGCGGCGGACGGGUGAGUAACACGUGGAUAACCUACCUAUAAGACUGGGAUAACUUCGGGAAACCGGAGCUAAUACCGGAUAAUAUAUUGAACCGCAUGGUUCAAUAGUGAAAGACGGUUUUGCUGUCACUUAUAGAUGGAUCCGCGCCGCAUUAGCUAGUUGGUAAGGUAACGGCUUACCAAGGCAACGAUGCGUAGCCGACCUGAGAGGGGGAGCGGCCACAGUGGAACGGAGACGCGGUCCAGACUCCUACGGGAGGCAGAAGUAGGGAAUCUUCCGCAAGGGGCGAAGGCCUGACGGAGCACCGCCGCGUGAGUGAUGAAGUUCUUCGGAUCGUAAACCUCUGUUAUUGGGGAAGAAAAAAUGUGUAAGAAACUAUGCACGUUUGGACGGUACCUAAUCAGAAAGCCACGGCUAACUACGUG